AGUUCCGACGGGAGGGGAGCGACACAUACGUACGAAAGGCUGUUACAGCUGCGUAGGGUCGUCGUUCUCUGCCUUCAAGAACAGGACGGUGAAAAAAAAAGAAAGCG
rnacentral:lncRNA from 1 species